UGCUGGCUUAGUGGUUAGAGUAUCUGCCUUGGAUGCGGGUGGUCAGGAUGCGGGAAGUUGUGGGUUCGAUCCCUGUUGAGUCAUAUCAA